rnacentral:rRNA from 1 species
UACGAAGGGGGCUAGCGUUGUUCGGAAUUACUGGGCGUAAAGCGUGCGCAGGCGGUUUUUUAAGCCAGAGGUGAAAUCCCGGAGCUCAACUUCGGAAUGGCCUUUGGGACUGGAAGGCUUGAGAGCGGGAGAGGUGAGUGGAAUUCCCAGUGUAGAGGUGAAAUUCGUAGAUAUUGGGAAGAACACCGGUGGCGAAGGCGGCUCACUGGCCCGUUUCUGACGCUGAGGCACGAAAGCGUGGGGAGCAAACAGG